AGCGAACGCUGGCGGCGUGCUUAACACAUGCAAGUCGAGCGAUUUACUUCGGUAAAGAGCGGCGGACGGGUGAGUAACGCGUGGGUAACCUGCCCUGUACACACGGAUAACAUACCGAAAGGUAUGCUAAUACGAGAUAAUAUGCUUUUAUCGCAUGGUAGAAGUAUCAAAGCUUUUGCGGUACAGGAUGGACCCGCGUCUGAUUAGCUAGUUGGUAAGGUAACGGCUUACCAAGGCGACGAUCAGUAGCCGACCUGAGAGGGUGAUCGGCCACAUUGGAACUGAGACACGGUCCAAACGCCUACGGGAGGCAGCAGUGGGGAAUAUUGCACAAUGGGCGAAAGCCUGAUGCAGCAACGCCGCGUGAGCGAUGAAGGCCUUCGGGUCGUAAAGCUCUGUCCUCAAGGAAGAUAAUGACGGUACUUGAGGAGGAAGCCCCGGCUAACUACGUGCCAGCCGCCGCCGUAAGAC
rnacentral:rRNA from 1 species